UUGGAUCUAAAGACAACUCAUCAA
rnacentral:siRNA from 1 species